rnacentral:rRNA from 1 species
GGUUAAGCGACUAAGCGUACACGGUGGAUGCCCUGGCAGUCAGAGGCGAUGAAGGACGUGCUAAUCUGCGAUAAGCGCCGGUAAGGUGAUAUGAACCGUUAUAACCGGCGAUUUCCGAAUGGGGAAACCCAGUGUGACUCGUCACACUAUCAUUAACUGAAUCCAUAGGUUAAUGAGGCGAACCGGGGGAACUGAAACAUCUAAGUACCCCGAGGAAAAGAAAUCAACCGAGAUUCCCCCAGUAGCGGCGAGCGAACGGGGAGGAGCCCAGAGCCUGAAUCAGCAUGUGUGUUAGUGGAAGCGUCUGGAAAGGCGCGCGAUACAGGGUGACAGCCCCGUACACAAAAGCGCAUGUGCUGUGAGCUCGAUGAGUAGGGCGGGACACGUGGUAUCCUGUCUGAAUAUGGGGGUAAAAUUCAUCCUCCAAGGCUAAAUACUCCUGACUGACCGAUAGUGAACCAGUACCGUGAGGGAAAGGCGAAAAGAACCCCGGCGAGGGGAGUGAAAAAGAACCUGAAACCGUGUACGUACAAGCAGUGGGAGCACAGGUUUACCUGUGUGACUGCGUACCUUUUGUAUAAUGGGUCAGCGACUUAUAUUCUGUAGCAAGGUUAACCGAAUAGGGGGAGCCGGAGGGAAACCGAGUCUUAACCGGGCGUUAAGUUGCAGGGUAUAGACCCGAAACCCGGUGAUCUAGCCAUGGGCAGGUUGAAGGUUGGGUAACACUAACUGGAGGAAUGCGAACCGACUAAUGUUGAAAAAUUAGCGGAUGACCUGUGGCUGGGGGUGAAAGGCCAAUCAAACCGGGAGAUAGCUGGUUCUCCCCGAAAGCUAUUUAGGUAGCGCCUCGUGAAUUCAUCUCCGGGGGUAGAGCACUGUUUCGGCUAGGGGGCCAUCCCGGCUUACCAACCCGAUGCAAACUGCGAAUACCGGAGAAUGUUAUCACGGGAGACACACGGCGGGUGCUAACGUCCGUCGUGAAGAGGGAAACAACCCAGACCGCCAGCUAAGGUCCCAAAGUCAUGGUUAAGUGGGAAACGAUGUGGGAAGGCCCAGACAGCCAGGAUGUUGGCUUAGAAGCAGCCAUCAUUUAAAGAAAGCGUAAUAGCUCACUGGUCGAGUCGGCCUGCGCGGAAGAUGUAACGGGGCUAAACCAUGCACCGAAGCUGCGGCAGCGAACGUAUCACUUAAAGCGAUUCAGCGGGUUACGAUUGACGGAGCGAAGCGACGUCAAAGCGUAUACAAAGUCGAGUCGGUUUAAGGAUACGUUCGUUGGGUAGGGGAGCGUUCUGUAAGCCUGUGAAGGUGUGUCGUGAGGCAUGCUGGAGGUAUCAGAAGUGCGAAUGCUGACAUAAGUAACGAUAAAGCGGGUGAAAAGCCCGCUCGCCGGAAGACCAAGGGUUCCUGUCCAACGUUAAUCGGGGCAGGGUGAGUCGACCCCUAAGGCGAGGCCGAAAGGCGUAGUCGAUGGGAAACGGGUUAAUAUUCCCGUACUUGGUGUUACUGCGAAGGGGGGACGGAGAAGGCUAUGUUGGCCGGGCGACGGUUGUCCCGGUUUAAGCGUGUAGGUGUGUGUUCCAGGUAAAUCCGGUUCACUUUAACACUGAGGCGUGAUGACGAGGCACUACGGUGCUGAAGCAACAAAUGCCCUGCUUCCGAGGAAAAGCCUCUAAGCAUCAGGUAACAUCAAAUCGUACCCCAAACCGACACAGGUGGUCAGGUAGAGAAUACCAAGGCGCUUGAGAGAACUCGGGUGAAGGAACUAGGCAAAAUGGUGCCGUAACUUCGGGAGAAGGCACGCUGACAUGUAGGUGAAGUGAUUUACUCAUGGAGCUGAAGUCAGUCGAAGAUACCAGCUGGCUGCAACUGUUUAUUAAAAACACAGCACUGUGCAAACACGAAAGUGGACGUAUACGGUGUGACGCCUGCCCGGUGCCGGAAGGUUAAUUGAUGGGGUCAGCGCAAGCGAAGCUCCUGAUCGAAGCCCCGGUAAACGGCGGCCGUAACUAUAACGAUUCCUAAGGUAGCGAAAUUCCUUGUCGGGUAAGUUCCGACCUGCACGAAUGGCGUAAUGAUGGCCAGGCUGUCUCCACCCGAGACUCAGUGAAAUUGAACUCGCUGUGAAGAUGCAGUGUACCCGCGGCAAGACGGAAAGACCCCGUGAACCUUUACUAUAGCUUGACACUGAACAUUGAGCCUUGAUGUGUAGGAUAGGUGGGAGGCUUUGAAGCGUGGACGCCAGUCUGCGUGGAGCCGACCUUGAAAUACCACCCUUUAAUGUUUGAUGUUCUAACGUGGACCCGUAAUCCGGGUUGCGGACAGUGUCUGGUGGGUAGUUUGACUGGGGCGGUCUCCUCCUAAAGAGUAACGGAGGAGCACGAAGGUUGGCUAAUCCUGGUCGGACAUCAGGAGGUUAGUGCAAUGGCAUAAGCCAGCUUGACUGCGAGCGUGACGGCGCGAGCAGGUGCGAAAGCAGGUCAUAGUGAUCCGGUGGUUCUGAAUGGAAGGGCCAUCGCUCAACGGAUAAAAGGUACUCCGGGGAUAACAGGCUGAUACCGCCCAAGAGUUCAUAUCGACGGCGGUGUUUGGCACCUCGAUGUCGGCUCAUCACAUCCUGGGGCUGAAGUAGGUCCCAAGGGUAUGGCUGUUCGCCAUUUAAAGUGGUACGCGAGCUGGGUUUAGAACGUCGUGAGACAGUUCGGUCCCUAUCUGCCGUGGGCGCUGGAGAACUGAGGGGGGCUGCUCCUAGUACGAGAGGACCGGAGUGGACGCAUCACUGGUGUUCGGGUUGUCAUGCCAAUGGCACUGCCCGGUAGCUAAAUGCGGAAGAGAUAAGUGCUGAAAGCAUCUAAGCACGAAACUUGCCCCGAGAUGAGUUCUCCCUGAGACUUAGAGUCUCCUGAAGGAACGUUGAAGACGACGACGUUGAUAGGCCGGGUGUGUAAGCGCAGCGAUGCGUUGAGCUAACCGGUACUAAUGAACCGUGAGGCUUAACCUU